AAUGGCAGCUAGCUCUCUGCAACUCUCACAUUGUCGCCCACUGAAGCUAAGCAGGGCUGCACCCGGUUAGUACCUGGAUGGGAGAUGACAUGAGAAGCUAGGUUGUUGCCAGAA
rnacentral:rRNA from 1 species